AGGCGGAAGGCUCUUGAGUGGGUCACAUGGGCGGCCGGCAGGCGGGGCUCCUGUGGUGAUCUUAGGGAAAGCUGCUGCUGGCAGAGGGAUGUGCUGUUUCUGAGCCCGAGCCGAAUGGGACCACGGGGCCCAAGCAAGCCCCCGUCCCUCCUGGACGUAAAGGCAUGCGCACAUACCUCUGGGAGUAUGAGGCUUCUGCCACCUGUUGGGUUGGUUCCAGGCCCCGCCUGCCCUCAGUGAGCCCCGACAGGGCCGGUGGGAGAUGGGCUUGUGUCCUGGGAGGCAGCUGCAGCUCUCACCCCAGCGGCUGUCUCUGCCUCAGGCUCCCCUCCCUGAAGCGUGGCUCGAGGCGCACGGGCACGGCUGCUCCGCGCCAGCGUGUAAGUGGAUUGCAGCUCCUCCCGCGCCUGCGCUCGCUGGCCACCCCCCAGCCCCUCAGGCACCAGGACUGGCCACUCCCGCGGCUCACUCUGCCCUCGUCACGGUGCCACUGGCUCCCUGGCACAGGUUGGGAGGGGUCUGGGUCUGGUCUGGGGUGGGGGUCCUGCAUGGCAGACGCUCAUGCCCACCCAUGUCUUGCCCUCCCCACCCAGACAUGCGGCGGGAUGUGCAGGAGAUCUUCCGCCUGACACCACACGAGAAGCAGUGCAUGAUGUUCAGCGCCACCCUGAGCAAGGACAUCCGGCCUGUGUGCAGGAAGUUCAUGCAGGAUGUGAGUAGGGCGAGAGUGGCAGCUUCAGCCUUCCCCAGGGGCCUGGAGCCUGGGGCCCCAGGACACCCGCACGGCCCACAUGGCACGGAGGAUGCUGGGAUGCUGGGAGCCGGCAGAGCCUCCUUUCCUCCCCUCGGUCUUGUCAAACUGGGAGUCAAGCUUGGUCCACACCUGAGUCGGGCCAGAGCUUACAUCCAGCUUUUGAGCGAUGUUUACUGAGGUCUGGUGCAGCAGGUCCUCUGGGAAGUGUCGCACAAAGGAGUCGCCCACUGGAAGGUUCUGGGCAGGCGAGAUGCCCAGAGGUGAUACCUGCCCGCCCCUCCCACCUCCCUUCCCACACAGCCCAUGGAGGUGUUUGUGGACGACGAGACCAAGCUCACGCUGCACGGCCUGCAGCAGUACUACGUCAAACUCAAAGACAGUGAGAAGAACCGCAAGCUCUUUGAUCUCUUGGAUGUGCUGGAGUUUAACCAGGUGAUAAUCUUCGUCAAGUCAGUGCAGCGCUGCAUGGCCCUGGCCCAGCUCCUCGUGGAGCAGAACUUCCCGGCCAUCGCCAUCCACCGGGGCAUGGCCCAGGAGGAGCGGUGAGUGCGAGCCGCCGGCCAAGGCUGCAGGGAGCACCACCAGGAGCCCAGUGUCUGACGGCCUCCACUUGUUUCUCCUGCACCCCAGCCUGUCACGCUAUCAGCAGUUCAAGGAUUUCCAGCGGCGGAUCCUGGUGGCCACGAAUCUGUUUGGCCGGGGGAUGGACAUCGAGCGAGUCAACAUCGUCUUUAACUACGACAUGCCUGAGGACUCGGACACCUACCUGCACCGGGUGGCCCGGGCGGGUCGCUUUGGCACCAAAGGCCUAGCCAUCACUUUUGUGUCUGACGAGAAUGAUGCCAAAAUCCUCAAUGACGUCCAGGACCGGUUUGAAGUUAAUGUGGCAGAACUUCCAGAGGAAAUCGACAUCUCCACAUACAUUGAGCAGAGCCGGUAACCACCACGUGCCAGAGCCGCCCACCCGGAGCCGCCCGCAUGCAGCUUCACCUCCCCUUUCCAGGCGCCACUGUUGAGAAGCUAGAGAUUGUAUGAGAAUAAACUUGUUAUUAUGGAA
rnacentral:sRNA from 1 species